GUCCCUGUAGCGCAAUGGGUAGCGCGUUGGACUUCUAAUCCAAAUGAUUUCGAAUCCCACUUGGGAUG